rnacentral:rRNA from 1 species
CAGCAGCCGCGGUAAGACAGAGGAUGCAAGCGUUAUCCGGAAUGAUUGGGCGUAAAGCGUGCGCAGGCGGUUCGUUAAGACAGAUGUGAAAUCCCCGGGCUUAACCUGGGAACUGCAUUUGUGACUGGCGAGCUAGAGUAUGGCAGAGGGGGGUAGAAUUCCACGUGUAGCAGUGAAAUGCGUAGAGAUGUGGAGGAAUACCGAUGGCGAAGGCAGCCCCCUGGGCCAAUACUGACGCUCAUGCACGAAAGCGUGGGGAGCAAACAGGAUUAGAUACCCGGGUAGUCCCUGUCUCUUAUAC